UGAACGCUAGCGACAGGCCUAACACAUGCAAGUCGAGCGGCAGCACCUCGGGUGGCGAGCGGCGCACGGGUGAGUAACGCGUAUGUAACCUGCCCAUGAGUGGGGGAUAGCCCGGUGAAAACCGGAUUAAUACCCCAUGACACCAUUGUCUGACAUCAUUUAGUGGUUAAAGAUUCAUUGCUCAUGGAUGGACAUGCGUUGGAUUAGCUAGUCGGCGGGGCAACGGCCCACCGAGGCGACGAUCCAUAGGGGUUCUGAGAGGAAGGUCCCCCCACAUUGGUACUGAGACACGGACCAAACUCCUACGGGAGGCAGCAGUGAGGAAUAUUGGUCAAUGGGCGGAAGCCUGAACCAGCCAAGUCGCGUGAAGGAGGACGGCAUUAUGUGUUGUAAACUUCUUUAGCUGUGGAGAAAUAAGGUGCAUGUAUGCACUGAUGCUAGUACACAGAGAAUAAGGAUCGGCUAACUCCGUGCC
rnacentral:rRNA from 1 species